CAGUAGCCGCGGGAACACGAAGGAGGCUAGCGUUGUUCGGAAUUACCGGGCGUAAAGGGCGCGUAGGCGGCCAUUCAAGUUAGAUGUGAAAGCCCUGGGCUCAACCUAGGAAUUGCAUUUGAUACUGUUUGGCUUGAGUUCGGGAGAGGUGAGUGGAAUUCCCAGUGUAGAGGUGAAAUUCGUAGAUAUUGGGAAGAACACCAGUGGCGAAGGCGGCUCACUGGACCGACACUGACGCUGAGGCGCGAAAGCGUGGGGAGCAAACAGGAUUAGAUACCCCUGUAGUCCCUGUCUCUUAUAC
rnacentral:rRNA from 1 species